rnacentral:misc_RNA from 1 species
GUGAUAUGCAUUUUGUUAGAUGAGUAUUGUGAAUUUGUGAUAUAGUUUUUGUUUAGGCUAAUAUGAUGAGAUUUUUAUUUUUAAUUGCCCCCUAGUUAUUUAGGCUAAAUGAAAAUAUUGGGCACUCUUGGCCAUAGUUGCCAUAGUUAUUAAAGGCUCAAGGAGCAUCGAGGCGCCAAGGUGUCUUGCAGCCUAGGCGCAAGAUGUAAGCGCGCGCCCGAGAGAGCCAAGCCGCAAAAAUAAAAAAUAUAUAUUA